AUCUUCCUCCCGCGCGUGCGCAGUAUCCUGCAGACCCGGAAUUGAGUUUAAAUGAGCGACCGAGUGUUCUGGGGUCACUUCCCAAGACUGAUCUUACGUGAGAAGGAAGCCCAGAGGAAGAGGAAAGCAAGGAGUCAGAAAUGACUCAUUCCGAGGGACGGCUGACGUUUCAGGAUGUGGCCAUAGACUUCACUCAAGAGGAGUGGGAAUGCCUGGACCUCGGUCAGCGGAAAUUGUACAGGAGCGUGAUGUUAGAGAACUACAGGAACCUGGCCUCCUUGGGGCUUGUCUCUAAGGUGGACCUGGUCACCUUUCUGGAGCUAUUGAAGGAUCCCAGGAAUAUAAGGAGAAUUGAAACAACAGCCAUUUACCCAGCUGUGUCUCCACAAGACACCCAGGAUUUGAUGCCAAAGAAUCCAGCAUUAGAAGAUGUAUUCCCAAAAGCAAACCUAGGAAUAUAUCAAACAUUUCACCUCAGAAACUUAAAUUUAAUGAAAGAUUGGGAAUAUACCAGGGUAUAUGAAAGACAGAGAGGAUGUUUAUAUGGACAUAAAGAAAUGGAGACACUUACAAAUAAUGCUAAGAGUACUGCAAAAAGAAAUGAGCAGCCUGAGUCAAAUUGGGAAAAACAGCAACUUCAAUCUUCACUAUCUGCCGAGAAGUGUAAGUGUUUAAGAAAAGAUGUCCAUCCUUUUUUGAAACAUACAUGUUCUCUAAAAGAAAACGUGGAAAAUCUGGAAGGUAAUCUAGUCUCUACUGCAAAUACUCAUUCAGACAAUUGUGAAUGUAGGCUUCGACUAAACAUACAUUCAAGGAUGUCUGAACACCUACAAUUUAACAAUGAGUGUGAAAAUUCAAAAUCUAAGCAAUUUCAGGGAUCCGUGAGCAGGGUGUCAUUGUUCUUCCCCCAACAGAUAUCUUCUAUCCAUUCCAAGAUAUAUAAUGUUGAUGAUAAUGGAAGAGAUGCAAUCCAACCAUCAUUCUUCAAUACAUAUUGUGAUAUGGUUAAUACACAACAACUUUCCAGGUAUAAUAAAAUGAGUCAGACCUUAAGUAAGAGCCCCAGCUCCAAUAAUUACAAGAGUAUUUAUGGCGGACUGAGAAGAUAUUCAGGCAAUGAAACUAGGUAUACAGUUGAAGGAGACUCAAACCUUAAGAAACAUCAGGGACCCGAAUCUUUAAACAAGGAUUCUAAAAUUAAUAAAUGUAGAAAUACCUUUGAUCAAAUGUCAGGUUUUUCUGUAGAUAAGAGUACUUGUACUGGAGACAGGACUUGUAGUGAAUAUGGUAAGGUUUCUAAUCACUGUUCAGAACUUACUCAACAGGACACUGUUCAGAAUCCACAGAAAGAAAACAAGUGUAAGGUAUGUGAGAAAGGGUUUAGUAAGUCAUCCAAUCUUAGUAGACAUAGGAGAAUUCAUACAGGAAGGAAACCUUUCAAAUGUACAGAAUGUAGCAGAGCAUUUAACUGUCACUCACUUCUUACUCAACAUCAGCGAAUUCAUGCUGGAAAGAAACCUUAUAUAUGUAAAGAAUGUAACAAAGCCUUUCAUUGUUCCUCAUUUCUUACUGAACAUCAGCAAAUUCACACUGGAGAGAAACCUUAUAAAUGUACAGUAUGUGGCAAAGCCUUUACUUACAACUCAGACCUUAUUGAACAUCAGCGAAUUCAUACUGGAGAGAAACCUUAUAAAUGUACAGAAUGUAGCAAAGCCUUUACUUACAACUCACUUCUUAUUCAACAUCGGCGAACUCAUACAGGAGAGAAACCUUAUAAAUGUACAGAAUGUAGCAAAGCCUUUACUUACAAUUCAGACCGUAUUGAACAUCAGCGAAUUCAUACUGGAGAGAAACCUUAUAUAUGUAAAGAAUGUAACAAAGCCUUUCGUCGCUCCUCAUUUCUUACUCAACAUCAGCGAAUUCACACUGGACAGAAACCUUAUAAAUGUACAGAAUGUGGCAAAGCCUUUACUUACAAGUCACUUCUUAUUAAACAUCGGAGAAUUCAUACUGGAGAGAAACCUUAUAAAUGUACAGAAUGUAGCAAAGCCUUUACUUACAACUCAAGCCUUAUUCAACAUCAGCGAAUUCAUGCUGGAGAGAAACCUUAUAAAUGUACAGAAUGUAGCAAAGCCUUUAUUUGCAACUCAGACCUUAUUGAACAUCAGCGAAUUCAUACUGGAGAGAAACCUUAUAUAUGUAAAGUAUGUAACAAAGCCUUUCGUCGCUCCUCAUUUCUUACUCGACAUCAGCGAAUUCACGCUGGAGAGAAACCUUAUAAAUGUACAGUAUGUGGCAAAGCCUUUACUUACAACUCAAAUCUUAUUCAACAUCAGCAAAUUCAUACUGGAGAGAAACCUUAUAAAUGUACAGAAUGUAGCAAAGCCUUUAUCUGUUACUCAGAUCUAACCUAUCAUAAGCGAAUCCAUACUGGAGAGAAGCCUUAUACAUGUAAAGAAUGUAACAAAGCCUUUCAUCAUUGCUCAGUUCUUACUAGACAUCAUCGAAUCCAUACUGGGGAGAAACCAUACAAAUGUAAAGAAUGUGGCAGAGCCUUUAUUAGGAGUUCAGCCCUUACUCAACAUCACCGAAUUCAUACCGGGGAUAGACGUUAUAAAUGUACAGAAUGUGGCAAGACCUUUAUUACGCGUUAUAACCUUACUGAACAUCGGCGCGUGCAUACUGGAGAGAGACCAUAUACAUGUACUGAAUGUGGCAAAGCCUUUGGUUACAGGUCAGCUCUUACUCUACAUCGGCGAAUGCAUACUGGAGAGAGACCUUAUGAAUGUACCGAAUGUGGCAAAGCCUUUAGUCAGAGUGCUCAUCUCAGUAAACAUCAGAGAACACACACUGGAGAGAAACUCUAGUAACGGAACAUGUGAUGGAAGAGGUUUGCGCUAAACAUGCAUCAGAAAACACAAGAGUUUAUACAAAAAAACCAAUGGAAAUGAUGUAACCAAUAUGUAGAAAAGUAUUUAAUCAAAAGUUAAAUGGAAAUAAAUAUCAGAGAUUGCAUAAUAGAAGGCAUUUCACUAAUCUUGUUUUCAGAAGUUUCUCUGAAGUACAAUGACUGUAGGGAGUACUGCAUAGUUGAAGCACAUAGAAAAUGGACGUAUUAGCAUGAAUCAUGAGAUGAAGGUUGAUAGUUAGAAAGUUACAAUUCUUAACACUGUAUGUAUGAAAGCGAAAGUAAAGUCGCUCAGUCGUGUCCAACUUUGCAACCCCAUAGACUGUAGCCUACCAGGCUCCUGUGUCUAUGGGAUUUUCCAGGCAAUAGUACUGGAGUGGAUUGCUAUUUGUAUGCUCGUUUAUAAUGACAUGAUUUGAGAUUCUUUGACGUGAAUGUAAUAGAACACUCAAUCCAUAUUAAGCUUUCUACUGUGUUUGGAAAGGUAGAUUUUUUAUGGUUUAUUAAAGAUUAGCUUUUUAUAUUGUGUUGCAACACAAUUUCUAUCUAUCCUCCUUUAGAAGAUGAAGGAUACCAUAAUGUAAAAUGGACAAUGACCAUCUAAAUGGAGGUGUUUGGCAUUGAUGUGAAAUAUCUGGAAGUUGCCAUGAUAAGUGCGUUUGCAGCGUAACAUCCCCAGAGAAGACAGAGCAGGAGGAAGAAGAGGAGGAAAUGGCAACUUCUCAGGAUGCCCAGGCAGUGAUUGUGCAUCUUUCAUGUGAUUCAUUUACACCAUGACAUCUGAUGCCCACUGGUUCUGGAGACAUCACUCUAACAUCAUGAGACUAUGAAGUUCAUACUUCUCUCUCUCUUUAAACAAGGUUGUGGAAAAAAGGAAUAAGGAAUGUGUGGAAAUGCUCAUAGUUAUUGGAGAAACUCCCCAUCUUCUUGGUUUCUCUUUGCUUCUGAGAAUGAACACUCAUUGUGUUGAUUAUAGAUAGUGGGUUUUCAGGGUAGGCGAAUUGAUCACUCAAGCCUAGGUGUGAUGUUUCCAGAAUACUCCAGGCUCAAAUCACAGACACAGUCUUUUUACCACCUCCAUGUACUUCUUACCCCAUGACUCAUGUUCACUGGUUUAAGUGUUUCUGUGAGAUUCCCAUGCUGUGAAUUUGUUUUUUUUCCACUUGACUUGAACAAGUGUCUUGGAAAGAAAAAUGAGGGAUGUGCCUAAACUAUCACAAUUAAUGAAGUAACUUCCUGUCUUCUUACUUUCUUUCUGCUUUGGAAAAUGAACACUCAUGUGUGUUUAGCAGAGAUGCUGGGUUUGGGGAGUGGUGGUUUUCAUCCCAAGCCCAGGUCUGAUCUUUUCCAAUACACUCCAUGCUCACAUCACAGAGUCUCAUCACAGUUUUGUAUUUUCCAAAAUGUUUACAAGAAUCUUAUUAGUCCUAAUCUAUGCUCAACUGUAUUAAAAUUUAAAAUACAGCUCAGUGCAAAUAAAGAAUAUCAUCCUCUAACAUUAUGUACUUUUUAAUUCAUUCAAAAUUACCUGAGUUUAGUGACAUGAAAAUGUCUCUCUCUUCCCCCUAAUGAGCAUAUAGCCCCAUUUGAGUGUAUGUCUGUACUCCGUGGAGAUGAGUUUGAGUGGGCUCCGGGAGUUGGUGAUGGACCAGGAGGCCUGGCGUGCUGUGGGCCAUGGGGUCGCAAAGAAUGGAAUACGACUGAGCAACUGAACUGAACUCUGUGUAUGAAAAUAUUAACAUGACUUGAUCAAUUUUUUCUUCUUCUUUUCUUUUUGCUUUGUUUUUCUGAAGAACUUCUGGGGAAGGGAAUGACUACCCGUUCCAGUAUUCCUGCUUGGGAAUUUCUUGGACAGUGGAAUCUGGCAAGUUAGAGUCCAUGGGGUCACUAAGAAUGGGACAUGACUGAGUGACUAAAACUCUUCUUGUCUUUAGUAUUGUUUACAGUUACAGAAACUUCUAUCAACUUUUCUUAGAGUUGUCUCUGUGAAUCUGUCUGUUUUAUUAAAGUCUAAAGUACAUAAACUGA